CCCAGGUCUGAGUCUGUCUCUCCAGGUGUCUGUGGUAUCUCUGAAGUUCCCUGGCCCUCCUCCCUCCAUCUCCCCCACUCUUCCCAGGGUGUUUUUGUGUUUCUCUGCUGUAGCGCCCUUCGCUGGAGCUGGGCCAUGGGGUGCAGCCCUGCAGGGCCCUGGGGACAAGGGAGGCCUGGCUGGCUGAGGUCUGUGCCCCAGCUGGGCUGCCUGGGACAGGAGUGGCUCUGCAGGGCCAGCAGCAGCUCCCCUUGCCAUGGGAGUGAGUGAGGGUCUCACACUCCUGUGCCAGCAAAGGAGUGAUCAAACUGGGCAAGGACUGAGCUCCAAGGGGAAGAGCUGCUGUACAUUUAUAUAUGAUGCUAUUCUGAAAAUGGCAAAGCCCAGAUCCUGCCUGUAGGAGCAAGUUUCAUCUGUUACAUCAAUGCAGCUGCAGCAACAGCAGAGCCCUGCAAAGCUGGCAGCUGCCAGAAGGAUUUGUUCCAUCCCUGAAUACCUGCACCGCUGCUUCCCCCCGUGCUGCUGUCAGCAGAGGAACAAACAGGUUCACACCUGCUGCAUAGCUGGCCUUGGAGGAAUGCAUGUGCAAAUUUGGCAGGUUAAAUGCUUGAAGGAAUUGCAGAGUCAGGCUCCUGGAAAAUGAGGGCACACACCAAAAAAUCAGCACCUCAGCACAGGAGCAGGUGAGAAGAUCAGGUGCAGAGAGAAGGUUGGGAAGAUGUGUGAACUUGCAGCAGCCUGCACCUGAAACGGGAGCCUUUAUCCACCAGAGCUUUGUGAGCUUGUAAAAACUCCCCCUAGAACAAGCUGAUUCAUGGGGUGAGGGCAGGAGCUGCCUCUGCCACAGCUCCAGGGCAGCCUGGGCACGGGGUGCUGGCAGUGCCAUAGCUCAGGGCACCCAUCUCCUGUCCCUGUGCCCAGCGUGAUGCCUUCGGGAUGGCAAAGCCUUCUGGAAGGCAAGGCCGUGCAGACAAGGACCCUCCACUCAAGGAACUGACCUGCCUCAGAAGAAUAAUCCAUCGCUUGGAGCUGCAUUCACUCUCUUUAGACUGUUUAAGGGUCUCCUGACUGUGUUAAAAUCCAAGAAUUCUGAAUCAAACGUGAACUGUGGCCACAUCCACAUGGCUGAAGAGCUCAUGGGCUUGGCAGUGGUGGCAGGGCUGGAGCUGCCAGCUGGGACCUCACAUGACACAGGGACACGUGCAGUGCUCACCUUGACUUGUUUAUGGCACUGCUGUGUGUUUUCAGUGCAAAGGAUGUUAGUUGCAAGCUGGUAGGCUCAGAUAAGCUGCCAGCCACCUUUCCUGGCCAGUCACAAAAGGUCCUUUGGAAAGGUGUUGCUAAUGUUCAACCACCAAGUGUUUUAAAUAUAAUAUAAAGACAGAUUUCCAGAUAAUAAAAGUAGGUUGACUGAU